AUUGAACGCUGGCGGCAUGCCUUACACAUGCAAGUCGAACGGUAACAGGUCUUCGGAUGCUGACGAGUAGCGAACGGGUGAGUAAUACAUCGGAACGUGCCCAGACGUGGGGGAUAACGAGGCGAAAGCUUUGCUAAUACCGCAUACGAUCUAAGGAUGAAAGCAGGGGACCGCAAGGCCUUGUGCGUUUGGAGCGGCCGAUGGCAGAUUAGGUAGUUGGUGGGAUAAAAGCUUACCAAGCCGACGAUCUGUAGCUGGUCUGAGAGGACGACCAGCCACACUGGGACUGAGACACGGCCCAGACUCCUACGGGAGGCAGCAGUGGGGAAUUUUGGACAAUGGGCGAAAGCCUGAUCCAGCAAUGCCGCGUGCAGGAUGAAGGCCUUCGGGUUGUAAACUGCUUUUGUACGGAACGAAAAGGCUCUGGCUAAUACCUGGGGCACAUGACGGUACCGUAAGAAUAAGCACCGGCUAACUACGUG
rnacentral:rRNA from 1 species